rnacentral:rRNA from 1 species
UACGUAGGGUGCAAGCGUUUGUCCGGAAUUAUUGGGCGUAAAGAGCUCGUAGGCGGUUUGUCGCGUCUGCUGUGAAAACUCGGGGCUUAACCCCGGGCCUGCAGUGGGUACGGGCAGACUAGAGUGCGGUAGGGGAGACUGGAAUCCUGGUGUAGCGGUGAAAUGCGCAGAUAUCAGGAGGAACACCGGUGGCGAAGGCGGGUCUCUGGGCCGUAACUGACGCUGAGGAGCGAAAGCGUGGGGAGCGAACAGG